rnacentral:rRNA from 1 species
GAUGAACGCUGGCGGCGUGCCUAAUACAUGCAAGUCGAGCGAACGGACGAGAAUCUUGCUUCUCUGCUGCUAGCGACGGAUGGGUGAUUAAUACGUAGAUACCUUACCUAUAAGAAUGGCAUCACUUCGGGAAACCGGAGCUAACAUCCGAUCAUAUUUUGAACCGCAUGGAUCUUAAGUGCAAGCCCGUCUUGAUGACCCUAAUAGAUGGUUCCGGGCUGCAUUAGCUAGUUGGUAAGGUAACGGCUUACCAAGGCGACGAUCCAUAGCUGGUCUGAGAGGGUGAUCAGCCACACUGGAACUGAGACACGGUCCAGACUCCUACGGGAGGCAGCAGUAGGGAAUAUUGCGCAAUGGGCGAAAGCCUGAUGCAGCAACGCCGCGUGUGUGAUGAAGGUCUUCGGAUCGUAAAGCACUGUUAGUAGGGAAGAAGAUAUGUAAAAGAAACUGUUGAUAUCUUGACGGUACCAAAUCAGAAAGCCCCGGCUAACUUCGUG